GACGAACGCUGGCGGCGUGCUUAACACAUGCAAGUCGAACGAAAAGAGGGAAAGAGCUUGCUCUUUCCGGAAUUGAGUGGCAAACGGGUGAGUAACACGUAAACAACCUGCCUUCAGGAUGGGGACAACAGACGGAAACGACUGCUAAUACCGAAUAAGUUCCAAGAGCCGCAUGGCCCAUGGAAGAAAAGGUGGCCUCUACCUGUAAGCUAUCGCCUGAAGAGGGGUUUACGUCUGAUUAGCUGGUUGGAGGGGUAACGGCCCACCAAGGCGACGAUCAGUAGCCGGUCUGAGAGGAUGAACGGCCACACUGGAACUGAGACACGGUCCAGACUCCUACGGGAGGCAGCAGUGGGGAAUCUUCCGCAAUGGGCGAAAGCCUGACGGAGCAACGCCGCGUGAGGGAUGACGGCCUUCGGGUUGUAAAACUCUGUGAUCCGGGACGAAAAGGCAGAGUGCGAAGAACAAACUGCAUUGACGGUACCGGAAAAGCAAGCCACGGCUAACUACGUG
rnacentral:rRNA from 1 species